rnacentral:rRNA from 1 species
GAUGAACGCUGGCGGCGUGCUUAACACAUGCAAGUCGAACGAAGCACCUUGAUUUGAUUCUUCGGAUGAAGAUUUUGGUGACUGAGUGGCGGACGGGUGAGUAACGCGUGGGUAACCUGCCUCAUACAGGGGGAUAACAGUUAGAAAUGACUGCUAAUACCGCAUGAGACCACAGCACCGCAUGGUGCAGGGGUAAAAACUCCGGUGGUAUGAGAUGGACCCGCGUCUGAUUAGAUAGUUGGUGAGGUAACGGCCCACCAAGUCGACGAUCGGUAGCCGACCUGAGAGGGUGAUCGGCCACAUUGGAACUGAGAGACGGUCCAA